GGGGAAGAAGCUGAUCGACAGAAUCAUCGAGACGAUCUGCGCCUGUUUUCAGGGACCUCAGACUGAUGAGGGGGUGCAACUGCAGAUCAUCAAGGCCCUCCUGACGGCGGUGACCUCGCAGCACAUAGAGAUCCACGAGGGCACGGUGCUGCAGGCGGUCAGGACCUGCUACAACAUCUACCUGGCCAGCAAGAACCUCAUCAACCAGACCACCGCCAAGGCCACGCUCACUCAGAUGCUCAACGUCAUCUUCGCUCGCAUGGAGAACCAGGCACUUACAAAUCACAAGCUCUCUUGGUCUCUGGCCUCCAGAAAGCGUGACCGCCAGGUAAAGCUGCAGGAAGCC